rnacentral:tRNA from 1 species
GAGGGUAUAGCUCAGUGGCAGAGCACUGUGCUUAGCAUGCACAAGGUCCUGGGUCCAAUUCCUGGUACCUCCU